CAUGGAUUGUGUUAGUUUGGAGGGUGAGGAUUUAUUCUCACCAAAUAAAUCUAAUGGCUAGGAUGCAUUCUUGAAAUAUGAGGGAACUAGUAUAAAAUGGCAAGAAGGGAAGUCUUGGUUUCCUUUGGCCAUUUGGAGAAAGAAAUGAAGAAGGAAAGAAAGAAAGGGAGAUAAGAAAGUCUCCCAUGGAAGAAAAAGUGAAGAAGAAGAGAAGAAAUCAAAUGGGAGAAAAUGAAGAUGGAAGCUCUCUUGAAAUGGAGAUUUAAUAUUCAAGAAGAGGUUGUGAAAACAUGGUAAAGUAAAGCAAAUGGUGGAAUGGCAUGUGGGAGCAUGAAAAGAAGAUUCAAGUGCAUGUUAUGGCCUAUGGAAGCCUAUGUUGUUAUGUUUGAUUUAUGAGAUGUAAACUUGUUUGGUUGGUGAUGGCUUAUUCAAGCCUAAGAUCAUGUAUGUAAUUUAUAUUUUAGGAUGUUUGAUUUUAUUGUGAAAUGAGGCAUUGGCUUAAGGCAUGUUGAAGCCUAGGUUGGGUGAAAGCCUCAUUGUUGAGUAUGUUGUGGGAAGCAACUAAGAUGUAAAGUAAAAUGGUUUUGUUGGAAAAAUUUGUGUGUGUUUGAUAAUGUUAUGGAAGUAUUGAAAGUUGGGUUUAAG